rnacentral:rRNA from 1 species
AUGCACGCUGGCGGCGUGCCUAAUACAUGCAAGUCGAGCGAACAGAUGAGGAGCUUGCUCCUCUGACGUUAGCGGCGGACGGGUGAGUAACACGUGGAUAACCUACCUAUAAGACUGGGAUAACUUCGGGAAACCGGAGCUAAUACCGGAUAAUAUAUUGAACCGCAUGGUUCAAUAGUGAAAGACGGUUUUGCUGUCACUUAUAGAUGGAUCCGCCCCGCAUUAGCUAGUUGGUAAGGUAACGGCUUACCAAGGCAACGAUGCGUAGCCGACCUGAGAGGGUGAUCGGCCACACUGGAACUGAGACACGGUCCAGACUCCUACGGGAGGCAGCAGUAGGGAAUCUUCCGCAAUGGGCGAAAGCCUGACGGAGCAACGCCGCGUGAGUGAUGAAGGUCUUCGGAUCGUAAAACUCUGUUAUUAGGGAAGAACAAAUGUGUAAGUAACUAUGCACGUCUUGACGGUACCUAAUCAGAAAGCCACGGCUAACUACGUG